rnacentral:snRNA from 1 species
GUGCUUGCUUCGGCAGCACAUAUACUAAAACUGAAAUGAUACAGAGAAGAUUAGCAUGGCCCCUGCGCAAGGGUUACAUGCAAAUUCGUGAAGUGUUCUGUAUUUCU